ensembl:lncRNA
CAUGAGUUCCCCUUAGUACCUGAGCCUGCUUGAAUGGCCUGAGCCAUUCUGCUCGAUACUGUGAGGUGCGCUCAGGCAAGCUCCGAGGUUGCGAAAUGGUCACCUAGGUGGGGAACAUGGCGUGUGCUCCAGGCCAGGAGUCUGCCGGGGACCAGGGAGCCACCUAAGUCUCAGGUAUGUGUCCACAGAGUCUCCAGGUCUCAACCCGCUCUACCACCAAGCUUCCUGGCAUGGUUUUAGGUCCCACAGUUUCUCCCUGCAUUGUACUCUCUUCCUUCAUCCCAGUCCCCACCUCCAACUGAUCCUUCCCACUCCUGUUCUUAUCAAACCCCAGUCUGCUCACAGAAAAUAUUCUGUUUCCUCUACAGAAGGAGAUCCAUGCUUCUCCCCUAUAGCCCUCCUCUUUACCUAACUUUUCUGUGUUUGUGGAAUGUAGCUUGAUUAUUAUUUACCUAAUAGAUAAUAUCCACUGAUAAAUGAAUGAAUAUCUGUCAUUCUGGGUCUUGGUUGUGUCUUUUUUUCUAGUUGCAUUCACCUGCCUGUAAAUUCAUGAUUUCAUUUAAAAAAAACAGUUGAUUGGGCUGGAGAGAUGGCUCAGCCGUUAAAGGCUAGGCUCACAACCAAAAAAAAAACAGUUGAGUGAUACUCUCUUGAGUAAAUGUGCCAUAUUUUGUUUAUCCAUUCGUCAAUUGAGGAUAUCUAGUUUGUUUACAGUUUCUGCCUAGUAUGAAUAAAUACACUAUGAACAUAGUUGAGCUCCUUUUGGAGCACCUUUUGGGUAGAUGACAAAGAAUGGUGUGCCUGGGUCUUGAGUUAGAUGGAUUCUCAGUUUUCUGAAGAACCACUCUUCUGAGGAAAUAGUGAUUUCCAAAGUGUCUGUAUUAGUUUACACUCCCACAAGCACUGUAGGAUGGUUCCCAUUAUCCAUAUCCUUGCCAGAAUGAGCUGUCACUUGCAUUAUUGAUCUUAGCCAUUCUGACAUUUGUAAUAUGGAUUCUCAAAGUAGUUGAUUUGCAUUUUCCUAAUCACUGAGAAGGUGAAGAAGUCUUUCUCAGCUAUUUGAGAUUCCUCUGUUGAGAAUUUUCUGUUUAGAUCUAUACCCAAUUUUUUUUCUCCAUCUUUAUUAAAUUGGGUAUUUCGUAUCUGCAUUACAAUUGUUAUUCCCUUUCCUGGUUUCCAGGCCAACAUCCACGUAACCCCUCCCGCUUCCACUUCUAUAUGGGCUUCCCCUCCCCAUCCUCCACCCAUUACCAUCCUCCCCCCAACAAUCCCAUUCACUGGGGCUUCAGUCUUGGCACGACCAAGGGCUUCCCCUUCCACUGGUGAUCUUACUAGGCUAUUCAUUGCUACCUAUGAGGUUGGAGCCCAGGAUCAGUCCAUGUAUAUCUUUGGGUAGUGCCUUAGUCCCUGGAAACCCUGAUUGGUUGGCAUUGUUGUUCAUAUGGGGUCUCGAACCCCUUCAAGCUCUUUCAGUCCUUUCUCUGAUUCCUUCAACGGGGAUCCCAUUCUCAGUCCAGUGGUUUGCUGCUGGCAUUCGCCUCUGUAUUUGCUGUAUUCUUUCUGUGUCUCUCAGUAGAGAUCUACAUCCGUUUCCUGUUGGCCUGCACUUCUUUGCUUCACCCAUCUUGUCUAAUUGGGUGGCGGUAUAUGUAUGGGCCACAUGUGGGGCAGGCUCUGAAUGGGUGUUCCUUCUGACUCUGUUCUAACUUUGCCUCACUAGUCCCUGCCAAGGGUAUUCUUGUUCCCCUUUUAAAGAAGGAGUGAAGCAUUCACAUUUUGAUCAUCCGUCUUGAGUUUCAUUUGUUCUAGGCAUCUAGGGUAAUUCAAGCAUUUGGGCUAAUAGCCACUUAUGAUUGAGUGCAUACCAUGUGUGUUUUUCUGUGAUUGGGUUACCUCACUCAGGAUGAUAUUUUCCAGUUCCAACCAUUUGUCUAAGAAUUUCAUAAAGUCAUUGUUUUUGAUAGCUGUGUAAUAUUCCAUUGUGUAGAUGUACCACAUUUUCCUCUGUUGAAGGGCAUCUGGGUUCUUUCCAGCUUCUGGCUAUUAUAAAUAAGGCUGCUAUGAACAUAGUGGAGCACGUGUCUUUUUUAUUUGUUGGGGCAUCUUUUGGGUAUAUGCCCAAGAGAGGUAUAGCUGGAUCCCCAGGCAGUUCAAUGUCCAAUUUUCUGAGGAACCUCCAGACUGAUUUCCAGAAUGGUUGUACCAGUUUGCAAUCCCACCAACAAUGGAGGAGUGUUCCUCUUCCUCCACAUCCACACCAGCAUCUGCUGUCACCUGAG